UACAGGGGUCUCAAGCGUUGUUCGGAUUCAUUGGGCGUAAAGGGUGCGUAGGUGGCGAGGCAAGUCAGAUGUGAAAUCCCGGGGCUCAACCCCGGAACUGCAUUUGAAACUGCCUUGCUCGAGUACUGGAGAGGAGACUGGAAUUUACGGUGUAGCAGUGAAAUGCGUAGAUAUCGUAAGGAAGACCAGUGGCGAAGGCGAGUCUCUGGACAGUUACUGACACUGAGGCACGAAGGCCAGGGGAGCAAACGGG
rnacentral:rRNA from 1 species